rnacentral:rRNA from 1 species
UACGGAGGGUGCAAGCGUUAAUCGGAAUUACUGGGCGUAAAGCGCACGCAGGCGGUCUGUCAAGUCGGAUGUGAAAUCCCCGGGCUCAACCUGGGAACUGCAUUCGAAACUGGCAGGCUAGAGUCUUGUAGAGGGGGGUAGAAUUCCAGGUGUAGCGGUGAAAUGCGUAGAGAUGCGGAGGAACACCGAUGGCGAAGGCAGCCCCCUGGGCUAACACUGACGCUCAGGCACGAAAGCGUGGGGAGCAAACAGG